UCGCUAUAGGAUGGGCCCGCGGCGCAUUAGCUAGUAGGUGAGGUAACGGCUCACCUAGGCAACGAUGCGUAGCCGACCUGAGAGGGUGAUCGGCCACACUGGGACUGAGACACGGCCCAG
rnacentral:rRNA from 1 species